GCUGUCUCUCCAGUUUGCGGUGGUGAAUGCUGGUAGCGGCGUGCGUCUCGCUCUCUCCCCCUAUGGUUGUGCGGGCAUCAUACUCGGCAACAAGUGCCAAGGCUGGUGGUGGUGCUGGUGACCUGGGUGGAGGUGUCCGUUUUCUUUGCGUGCUGUAUCCCCUGGGAUUGGGGUAUUCACUGUGUGU